AGUGAACGCUGGCGGUAGGCCUAACACAUGCAAGUCGAACGGCAGCACAGUAAGAGCUUGCUCUUACGGGUGGCGAGUGGCGGACGGGUGAGGAAUACAUCGGAAUCUACUUUUUCGUGGGGGAUAACGUAGGGAAACUUACGCUAAUACCGCAUACGACCUACGGGUGAAAGCAGGGGAUCUUCGGACCUUGCGCGAUUGAAUGAGCCGAUGUCGGAUUAGCUAGUUGGCGGGGUAAAGGCCCACCAAGGCGACGAUCCGUAGCUGGUCUGAGAGGAUGAUGAGCCACACUGGAACUGAGACACGGUCCAGACUCCUACGGGAGGCAGCAGUGGGGAAUAUUGGACGAUGGGCGCAAGCCUGAUCCAGCCAUACCGCGUGGGUGAAGAAGGCCUUCGGGUUGUAAAGCCCUUUUGUUGGGAAAGAAAAGCAGCAGGUUAAUACCCGGCUGUUCUGACGGUACCCAAAGAAUAAGCACCGGCUAACUUCGUG
rnacentral:rRNA from 1 species